GAAAAAAGUCGUAACAAGGUCUCCGUUGGUGAACCAGCGGAGGGAUCAUUA
rnacentral:rRNA from 1 species